GGAGGCUGAGGCAGGAGAAUUGCCUGAACCCAGGAGGCGGAGAUUGCGGCGAGCCAAAAUCGCUCCACUGCACUCCAGCCUGGGCAACAAGAGUAAAACUCCGUCUCAAAAAAA